CAGUCGCCGCGGGAAUACGUAGGGUGCAAGCGUUAAUUGGAAUUACUGGGCGUAAAGCGUGCGCAGGCGGUUAUAUAAGACAGAUGUGAAAUCCCCGGGCUCAACCUGGGAACUGCAUUUGUGACUGUAUAGCUAGAGUACGGCAGAGGGGGAUGGAAUUCCGCGUGUAGCAGUGAAAUGCGUAGAUAUGCGGAGGAACACCGAUGGCGAAGGCAAUCCCCUGGGCCUGUACUGACGCUCAUGCACGAAAGCGUGGGGAGCAAACAGGAUUAGAUACCCGCGUAGUCCCUGUCUCUUAUAC
rnacentral:rRNA from 1 species